AUGCUCACUUUGGCAGCACAUAUACUAAAAUUGGAACAACACAGAGAAGAUUAGCAUGGCCCUUGCACAAGGAUGACACGCAAAUACUUGAAGCAUUCCAAAAACAA
rfam:Myotis brandtii contig189881, whole genome shotgun sequence.